GGAUGCUUGGGAAACUGGGAAGAAGGAGAUGAUCCCUGGAAGGAGCAUGCCAAGUGGUUCCCCAACUUUCACUAUGGAAUGAUUCCCGAAAAGGAAAGGAGCAGUAUAGUACGCACUUGCCAGCACCUGGUCAGGAAUAUGCCCUCGACUCUGGCUAAUUCCCCACGGAAUGACAAUAAGCUGGCUACUUCAGCCACACAGAGAAUUGAUCACUGUUACAGCGUAUGAGACUUUCCAAACAAGCUGAACCACAUUAUCUCUCUCAGAGUCAAGUGUCUGAAUCAGCACUUGAAUGCUCACUUCCCUCCAUCUCUUAAUGCUUUGUAAAAUACAUUUUAGUGUGUGUGGAGGGGAUGGGGAUGUGGCUUAUAUGCCAGAAUGUGGGCAUAGUGACACUGCUUCUUCUCCAGUCCCCUUGUCCUGGAAUUCUAGAGUCCUGCCUCUGACUCCCUGCCCAGCCAUUGGCCACUGGCAACUUUAGUCACCAAUCACACCCAGCUGGAGACAGGGACCCUCAGCGCCUCACAUGUGGGAUUCUCAUGCAAUUUGAGAACCAAUAACAACACAAGCAUUAAACUAAACGCACAGCACAAUUUAAGAAAGUACUGUUGAGAUGGGAGUGAUGGCAUGUGCCUGUAAUCCCAGGUCUGUCCAGGUGGAGGCAAGGGGGUCGCAAAUUGAAGUUUGUAUUUUUGCUAUUUAAAGAGCCUAAGGAGAGCCUGUGCCAGGUGGAAUCCUAUCUCAAAAGGAAAAACAGUAUUGUAACGAUUUUAAAGCAGAUUAGUUCAUUAUAAUAUUUCUAAAAAGGAUUUAUAACCCCAACUCACUGUAGUUCACCCGAUGUGCUAUGUCCUACAGGGGUGACAGUCAGGCAUAGAACAAUGCAUGGAAAUAUAUGAAAAAUGUAGCCACAAUCACUGGGUGCCACAGACACUGAAUGGAAGCCCUUGAGGAUAUUUGAGUCAUGUAAUGGAGUUCAUCGUCUCAUGAGAAUAUGAAAGGGCAAGGCUG
ensembl:lncRNA